UACGAAGGGGGCUAGCGUUGCUCGGAAUUACUGGGCGUAAAGGGCGCGUAGGCGGACAGUUUAGUCAGAGGUAAAAGCCCAGGGCCCAACCUUGGAACUGCCUUUGAUACUGGCUGUCUUGAGUUCGGGAGAGGUGAGUGGAAUGCCGAGUGUAGAGGUGAAAUUCGUAGAUAUUCGCAAGAACACCAGUGGCGAAGGCGGCUCACUGGCCCGAUACUGACGCUGAGGUGCGAAAGCGUGGGGAGCAAACAGGG
rnacentral:rRNA from 1 species